rnacentral:rRNA from 1 species
CCGAAUGAUAAGAUGUGGCGCAUGCCACGCCUUUGAAAGAUGGUUUCGGCUAUCGCUUACAGAUGGGCCCGCGGGGCAUUAGCUAGUUGGUAGGGUAAUGGCCUACCAAGGCAACGAUGCAUAGCCGACCUGAGAGGGGGAUCGGCCACACUGGGACU